UUAAUUGAAGAGUUUGAUCAUGGCUCAGAUUGAACGCUGGCGGCAGGCCUAACACAUGCAAGUCGAACGGUAACAGGGAGCAGCUUGCUGCUCUGCUGACGAGUGGCGGACGGGUGAGUAAUGUCUGGGAAACUGCCUGAUGGAGGGGGAUAACUACUGGAAACGGUAGCUAAUACCGCAUAACGUCUUCGGACCAAAGUGGGGGACCUUCGGGCCUCAUGCCAUCAGAUGUGCCCAGAUGGGAUUAGCUAGUAGGUGGGGUAACGGCUCACCUAGGCGACGAUCCCUAGCUGGUCUGAGAGGAUGACCAGCCACACUGGAACUGAGACACGGUCCAGACUCCUACGGGAGGCAGCAGUGGGGAAUAUUGCACAAUGGGCGCAAGCCUGAUGCAGCCAUGCCGCGUGUAUGAAGAAGGCCUUCGGGUUGUAAAG
rnacentral:rRNA from 1 species